CUGACACACACACACACUCACUCACUCACUCACUCACUCACUUACUCUCACACACACACACACUUUUUUUAUCCAGAAAACCUUUGUCAUCAUCUUCUUCAUCCGUGUCCUGCGCGUGUGCACAGCACGUUCCAGGACCAGACUGAAAAGGUAAUUUCCUCUGUCAGUGCGUUUCAGGCUUCAGUGACACAGCAGAAACACCGGGACACUCAGCCAUGAGUCAAACGGGCUUCACCAGAACCAGAUGUCCACGCCACAUCGCGGGCCGGGUGAUGUGCAUGAACCCAAGCUGUGUCCGACGCGCGAGGAUGAACGCGCUUCUUUGUGACGGGGGUCGAAGGUCAUGACGACAGCGGACACGUUGGUGUCGCGAGCUGAUGGUCUGCUUUUGAUUCGAUGAGUCAGCGGGCGCAUACCACGACACAGCGCCCCCUGCAGCCUGAAGCAGCGAACAGGUGUUUUCAAAAGAACGGGAACAAUUUGGCCCGAUCACAACAUGACCUGUUUUGAAGUCGACGACGGAGGUGGAGUUAUUUUACCCUGGACUUUGUCUUGCAGAUCAGCCUCAGGGUCUAAGCGAGACAGAGUGCAAGAUUGGACCACCUCGAUGGCACACGCAGAACACACACUCCUCUGCGUACACUCUCAGUAACCCUACAUUCAUUAGUUAAUCCUCUCGGUACCAGAAGACGUGAGGCAUCAAACGCACAUGCCAGCCUGCCAGACGUUACGCAGGGCUUUGUAUCGUCGAUGUCGUCACAAUCUUGCGACGGGCCUCAGAGCAAAACAGAGAAGUCGGAGAACCGGACCAAGCGCGUAUCGAACUUGUCCAGUGCAACUGUCUGAUUGUUGUGUUUGAUCCAGACUCAUCUUCGGCCUUCGGAACAGUGUUCCCCAGAAAACAAUCGAAAGGUUCAGUUGUGUUUUUUUCUAUUUCAUUGCUGUAGCUAACUGGCUAAUGCUAAUGUGCGGGCCCUCAACGGCACAAGCAGCAAGUUCCAUUCUUCCCGACCGAACGACGAGUCCAGUUUAGAUGCGACAGCAAACACGUCGAGCAUUUGAGUCGCGGUUUUAGUGAUGACUUCCAGGCGGACCGGGUUUUCCAGCACCGACUCAGCGAUCCACCGUAAACAAAGUGUCUCCAGUCUGUCGGACAGAGCGGACUCCAAGUCCAUGUUCGGAAACAUGACGGUGACUUCGCUGAGAUCCCGACUGGCUCCGAGCAUCCAGGCCGCGGUGGACACUCUGCUGGGCGAGGUGGUACUGGUUCUGAAUGAGACCCAGCAAGAGCUGGCCAACAAGGAGCAGGAGAACCAGCGGCUGAAGGUGCGGCUGGAGGUGUCGGAGCGGGAGCUGAAGAGCCUGCAGGAGUGUCUGUGUAGUGCUCAGAAACUCAUCGACCAGCUGCAGGUUUCGUACCCACAACCGCAGUUCACCCCGUCCCUGUCUUCCAUGGCUUCCAUGGCAGCCAGUUUGGACAGGAACCACCAGAACUCCAGGGGUGUGAAUGGGGCCGGGGUCGACCUGGGUCUGGGUGGCGCUGUGGAGGAAUCCCUUCAUGGUUUUGGGUCCAGAGACGACUUCAAAAUGUGCCAGCUGUCGAUCCAGCCGGACGGUUCUGUGACCAACCACAGCUUGGACUCAUUCUCCACGGGAAGCGACCACAUCUGCUCAGACACUGGCAGACCAGACCAGCACCAUCCUCGGGCACCAGGGUCCACUUUUGUGGUUAAAGAGGAGCAUGGACACACUCCAGGACCGGUCCUGUCCCAAGGGAAGGAGUCCACCUUGGGGAGUGAGACUAGAGUGGGUGAAGUAGAUCACUCCUCUCAGACUGUAGGGGACCUCAGCUACGGUCCACUGGGUGAAGAGGGGGGAUCCCACCGACCCUUUCCUCACCCAUCACAGCGCCACCAUAGGCAAGCGGCAGAGUGUGGUUCUGCUCUGGCAGGAGCCGAGGCACAGAAAGGUGACAGCCAGUCUCCGGGGAGAACAGAGGACUUGGCCGGACCCUCGGAGUCUGCGGCAGAACCCCCCGCUGACCGGCCUCACCACUGCCUGGAAUGCGGGAAGACAUUCCGUCUGAUCUCCAGUCUGAAGAAACACAUUCGGAUCCACACGGGCGAGAAGCCGUACCCCUGCGGCGUCUGUGGCCGAAGGUUCCGGGAGUCCGGAGCCCUGAAGACCCACCUCCGCAUUCACACUGGCGAGAAGCCGUACUCCUGCUCGGAGUGCGGCACGAGCUUCAGACACUUGGACGGUUUGCGCAAACACCGGCGCACGCACACUGGUGAAAAGCCCUACGUCUGCGCCAUUUGUGGCAAACGUCUCAGCCGCCUGCAGCACCUGAAGCACCACCAGCUGAUCCACACGGGUGAGAGACCCUGCUGCUGCCCCUUCUGCAACCGCAGCUUCAAGGAGCCAGCGGCGCUCCGCAAACACGUGCGCACGCACCGGGACGAGGGCGGCCACAUGAGUCUGGCCGCGGAGGACACGGACCCUGAUGCUCUGGAGGACAUGAACAACCUCCACCCUGCAGCUCCCUCCCCCCAGAUGAGGUUCGGCGAGUGGGGCGGGGGCGGCGACGACGACGACGCCUCAGCUGUGGACUGUGUGUAGCUGCCAUAUCCUGCCAAAUACACACGCUUGUCUGUGGCCAGCAGUCAUUUUGUGUCAGCGUGUGACAGCAGUUUUACCUUUUUGUGAAAGUGUUUUCUACGUGCCGUGCUGAAACAGUGAUGUAACUUCCACCUUUUUUCUUCUCCGUGAUGCGAGUUGAUCCAGUGACAGGCAUCUGGUAGUCCCUGCAUGUGGGUCGGACCGGGACCAGGAUGUCCCUGCAUGUGGGUCGGACCGGAACCGGGACUGGGAGUAGAAACUUCAGGCUUGACCCGGAUAUGGGCGCCCUCCGAGAUGCGUCCUCCUCAACACAUGUCCACUCGGGGGCGCCAUAGAGUCAAGC